rnacentral:rRNA from 1 species
UGAGCAAUCUGCCCUUCUCAUCGGAAUAAGCGUUGGAAACGACGUCUAAUGCCGAAUACGACCUCCUUUCGCAUGAUCGGAGGUGGAAAGCUCCGGCGGAGAAGGAUGAGCUCGCGGCCUAUCAGCUAGUUGGUGUGGGUAAUGGCCCCACCAAGGCGACGACGGGUAGCCGGCCUGAGAGGGUGACCGGCCACACUGGGACUGAGACACGGCCCAGACUCCUACGGGAGCAG